rnacentral:rRNA from 1 species
CAGUAGCCACGGGAAUACCGAGGUCCCGAGCGUUGUUCGGAAUUACUGGGCGUAAAGCGCACGUAGGCGGCUUUGUAAGUUAGAGGUGAAAGCCUGGAGCUCAACUCCAGAAUUGCCUUUAAGACUGCAUCGCUUGAAUCCGGGAGAGGUGAGUGGAAUUCCGAGUGUAGAGGUGAAAUUCGUAGAUAUUCGGAAGAACACCAGUGGCGAAGGCGGCUCACUGGACCGGCAUUGACGCUGAGGUGCGAAAGCGUGGGGAGCAAACAGGAUUAGAUACCCCAGUAGUCCCUGUCUCUUAUAC